AUGGGGAUUUUCCCACCCAAAAAUUGGGAUUUUUCCACUCAAAAAUUGGGAUUUUCCCGCUCAAAAAUUGGGAUUUUUCUACCUAAAAAUCAGGAUUUUCCCACCCAAAAAUUGGGAUUUUUCUACCUAAAAAUCAGGAUUUUCCCGCCCCAAAAUCGGAAUUUUCCCCCCCAAAAUUGGGAAUUUUCCCACCCCAAAAUCGGAAUUUUCCCACCCCAAAAUCAGGACUUUCCCCCCCAAAAAUUGGGAUUUUCCCACCCCAAAAUCGGGAUUUUCCCACCCAAAAAUUGGAAUUUUCCCCUCCAAAAAUCGGAAUUUUCCCACCCCAAAAUCGGAAUUUUCUCACCCAAAAAAAUCAGGAUUUUCCCGCCCAAAAAUCGGGAUUUUCCCGCCCAAAAAUCGGGAAUUUUCCCACCUAAAAAUCGGGAUUUUCCCCCCAAAAAAAUCAGGAUUUUCCUGCUCAAAAAUUGGGAAUUUUCCCCCCAAAAAAUCGGGAUUUUCCCACCCAAAAAUCGGAAUUUUCCCACCCCAAAAUCGAAAUUUUCCCCCCAAAAAUUGGGAAUUUUCCCACCCAAAAUCGGGAUUUUCUCACCCAAAAAAUGGGAUUUUCCCGCCCCAAAAUCAGGAUUUUCCUGCUCAAAAAUCAAGAUUUUCCCACCCCAAAAUCGGGAUUUUCCCACCCCAAAAUCGGGAUUUUCCCACCCCAAAAUCGGGAUUUUCCCCUCCAAAAUCGGGAUUUUCCCCUCAAAAAAAUGUGAUUUUCCCACCUAAAAAUCGGAAUUUUCCCACCCCAAAAUCGGGAUUUUCCCACCCAAAAAUCAGAAUUUUCCCACCCAAAAUUGGGAAUUUUCCCCCCAAAAAUUGGGAAUUUUCCCACCCAAAAUCGGGAUUUUCUCACCCAAAAUUGGGAAUUUUCCCGCCUAAAAAUCGGAAUUUUCCCACCCCAAAAUCGGGAUUUUCCCACCCCAAAAUCAGGAUUUUCCUGCUCAAAAAUUGGAAUUUUCCCACCCCAAAAUUGGGA
rnacentral:lncRNA from 1 species